UCGGAUAUGGUGUAACGGCUAACAUUGCCGCCUCUCAUGUCUAUGACCUCAUAGCUGUGCGCGGCAGCUCGGGGUUCGAUUCCCCGUAUCCGAA